CCUGGCGGUGUGUCUAAGGCAUGCAAGUCGAACGAGAUCGCUUUCUUCGGAAAGCAUAUAUCUAGUGGCAGACGGCUGAGUAACGCGUAAGUAACUUACCCUUGAGUGGGGAAUAACACAGAGAAAUCUGUGCUAAUACCGCAUACGAUUUAUUAAUAAUUUUUAUAAAUGAAAGAUUUAUCGCUCUUGGAUGGGCUUGCGUCCUAUCAGGUUGUUGGNGGGGUAAUGGCCCACCAAGCCUAAGACGGGUAGCUGGUGUGAGAGCACGACCAGCCAGAGGGGGACUGAGACACGGCCCCCACUCCUACGGGAGGCAGCAGC
rnacentral:rRNA from 1 species